GCUCCCAUAGUUCAACAGGAUAGAAUAGCCGCCUCCUAAGCAGCAGAUUUGGGUUCGAGUCCCGAUGGGAGUAC
rnacentral:tRNA from 1 species